rnacentral:rRNA from 1 species
GAUGAACGCUGGCGGCGUGCCUAAUACAUGCAAGUCGAGCGAACAGACGAGGAGCUUGCUCCUCUGACGUUAGCGGCGGACGGGUGAGUAACACGUGGAUAACCUACCUAUAAGACUGGGAUAACUUCGGGAAACCGGAGCUAAUACCGGAUAAUAUAUUGAACCGCAUGGUUCAAUAGUGAAAGACGGUUUUGCUGUCACUUAUAGAUGGAUCCGCGCCGCAUUAGCUAGUUGGUAAGGUAACGGCUUACCAAGGCAACGAUGCGUAGCCGACCUGAGAGGGUGAUCGGCCACACUGGAACUGAGACCCGGUCCAGACUCCUACGGGAGGCAGCAGUAGGGAAUCUUCCGCAGUGGGCGAAAGCCUGACGGAGCAACGCCGCGUGAGUGAUGAAGGUCUUCGGAUCGUAAAACUCUGUUAUUAGGGAAGAACAAAUGUGUAAGUAACUAUGCACGUCUUGACGGUACCUAAUCAGAAAGCCACGGCUAACUACGU